rnacentral:sRNA from 1 species
ACCUGCGGAAGGAUCAUUAUUGAAUGAACUUGGCGUUGGUUGCAGCUGGCCCUCUCGGGGGCAUGUGCUCGCCCGUCAUCUUUAUCUCUCCACCUGUGCACCCUUUGUAGACCUGGAUAAUAGACUCUCCGAGGCAACUCGGUCGGGAGGACUUGGACCCCUUCAUCGGGAGACUUUCCUUGCCAAUUAACCAGGCCUAUGUUUUCAUAUACCCCAAAGUAUGUAACAGAAUGUAUCAUAUGGCCCUAGUGCCUAUAAACUAUAUACAACUUUCAGCAACGGAUCUCUUGGCUCUCGCAUCGAUGAAGAACGCAGCGAAAUGCGAUAAGUAAUGUGAAUUGCAGAAUUCAGUGAAUCAUCGAAUCUUUGAACGCACCUUGCGCUCCUUGGUAUUCCGAGGAGCAUGCCUGUUUGAGUGUCAUUAAAUUCUCAACCUUACCAGCUUUUGCUAGUAACGGCUUGGACUUGGGGGUCUUUUGCUGGCUUCGUCAAGAGGUCUGCUCCCCUUAAAUGCAUUAGCCGGCGCCCCGCGUGGAACCGUCUAUUGGUGUGAUAAUUAUCUACGCCGUGGACGUUCUGCUUUAAUGGGUCUUUGCGCUGCUUCUAACCGUCUGUUAACUCGGACAAACCAAAUGACAAUUUGACCUCAAA